UACGUAGGGUGCAGGCGUUAAUCGGAAUUACUGGGCGUAAAGCGUGCGCAGGCGGUUUCUUAAGUCAGAUGUGAAAGCCCCGGGCUUAACCUGGGAACUGCGUUUGAAACUGGGAGACUUGAGUGUGGCAGAGGGGGGUGGAAUUCCACGUGUAGCAGUGAAAUGCGUAGAUAUGUGGAGGAACACCGAUGGAGAAGGCAGCCCCGUGGGUUAACACUGACGCUCAUGCACGAAAGCGUGGGGAGCAAACAGG
rnacentral:rRNA from 1 species